rnacentral:rRNA from 1 species
GAUGAACGCUGGCGGCGUGCCUAAUACAUGCAAGUCGAGCGGUAAGGCCCUUCGGGGUACACGAGCGGCGGACGGCUGAGUAACACGUAGGAACGUACCCCAAAGUGAGGGAUAACUGCCCGAAAGAGUAGCUAAUACCGCAUGUGGUCUAAGGAUUAAAGCUUUAUGCGCUUUGGGAACGGCCUGCGUCCGAUUAGCUAGUUGGUAGUGUAAUGGACUACCAAGGCUUCGAUCGGUAGCUGGUCUGAGAGGAUGAUCAGCCAGACUGGGACUGAGACACGGCCCAGACUCCUACGGGAGGCAGCAGUAGGGAAUUUUCCACAAUGGGCGAAAGCCUGAUGGAGCAACGCCGCGUGCAGGAUGAAUGCCUUCGGGUUAUAAACUGCUUUUAUCUGUGACGAUUGUGACGGUAACAGAUGAAUAAGGAUCGGCUAACUCCGUGCCAGCAGCCGCUGUAA